rnacentral:rRNA from 1 species
GAUGAACGCUGGCGGCGUGCCUAAUACAUGCAAGUCGAGCGAACAGAUGAUGAGCUUGCUCCUCUGACGUUAGCGGCGGACGUGUGAGUAACACGUGGAUAACCUACUUAUAUGACUGGUAUAACUUCGGGAAACCGGAUCUAAUACCGGAGAAUAUAUUGAACCGCAGUGUUGAAUAGUGAAAUACGGUGGUGCGGUCUGUUAUAGAUGGAUCCGCGCCGCAUUAUCUAGUUGGUAAGGUAACGGCUUACCAAGGCAAAGAUGCGUAGGCGAAGUGAGGGGGUGAUAGGCCGCACUAGAACUGAGACACGGUCCUGAGUACUGCGGGAGGCACCAGUAGGGAAUGUUACGCAAUGGGCGGAAGCAUGACGGAGCAAGGCCACGUGAGAGAUGACGGUCUUGGGAUCGUAAAAAUCUGUUAUUAGGGAAAAACCAAUGUGUAAGUAACUGUGCCCGUAUUGACGGUAACUAAUCAGAAAGCCACGGCUAACUACGUG